AUGCAGCCGCACGUCUCAUGCGCCAAGCAGAGAGUCAGAGACCAUUUUCCUGGCAUCCAGCGGGACGUGACUGAUCGUGGCUCCCAGCGUGGGCAGAGGGAGCCGAGAGCUCAGCUCGGCGAGCUGGGGGAGGAGGAUAACGCUGCUCUGUACGUAACCAUCCCGAUAAUUAGCGGUGAUGGGAAAGGACGGGGCAGGUUAGAGAGGCUGAGCCCAGGCCAUGGGAAAAGAAACCCCGAUAGGGAAGGCGGUGAGCAUGCCUGGCUACAAGAGGAAGCAGGAAGAGCGGUGGGAAUGUCCCCGCACGCUGUCCCGUGCCCGCGGGGCCGGGCGAGCAGGGCUGCAGCGGUGCGCUCGAGGCAGUGGCGCAGGCGGCCGGGGCGCAGGGGGUCCGCGCCGAGCGCUGCUCCGUUCUGCACCUCGUGCCKGACGAUUGCCCCCUCCCGGGGGCAGCUGCUCGCCUGCCCCGCAGCAGGGAGCGCAAAGGAAAGGGGAGGGCAGGCGAAAGGGGCUUUAGGCACAAGCCUUUGCCCCAUACCCCCGUGGCCUGACGGCCCCCGCCCAGGCGAAAGGAAGCCUCACGGGGCGCAGCUGGAGCCCAGACGYCUCCCCGGUGUCUCGGCCAUCUCCCAGGCCAGCAGAACCCACCCCACGGACGCAGAGGUGCCCUCGGCCCCAAACGCAGCCCUCGGAGACGACGCGACCCAGCAGGCGUCCCCUUGCGGAGGGCGCAGCGAGGGGCACMCUGCGAGGGGAGCUCGGCCAGGGCACGGAUCGCGCCGCCCCCUCCCUCCCCGCAUGCCCCCCCCCCGCUUUGCCCUUCCUCGCUGGCGGGAGGCAGUGGGAAGAGCUGGUGAGAGGACGCUGACGGAGACACUUUUUUCCCAUCCUAAAAAUAGCAGCUGGCCGUUUCCCCAGCUUCCCGGCCUCGCCAACGCUCUUCCAUUAGAUGAAAAAAAUAAGCCACCUUCCGUCGGAAAGAGAGAGGCUGCAUGUGUCGAGAGAGGCACACGCAAGCCACAAAUAGAAACUGGGGACAGAGAGGAGAGAGAGAGAGAGAGAACGGAAGAGGGAGCGAAGCCGUUCCGUCCCCAGUUAUUCCYGAGACGUUUUAAUUAG
rnacentral:lncRNA from 1 species